GGCUCGGUAGCUUAGAUGGUAAAACGCUCGUCUAGCAUACAAGAGUCCUGGUUCGAAUCCCAGCCGAGCAC
rfam:Aedes aegypti strain Liverpool supercont1.331 genomic scaffold, whole genome shotgun sequence.